UACGUAGGGUGCAAGCGUUAAUCGGAAUUACUGGGCGUAAAGCGUGCGCAGGCGGUGAUGUAAGACAGGUGUGAAAUCCCCGGGCUUAACCUGGGAACUGCAUUUGUGACUGCAUCGCUGGAGUGCGGCAGAGGGGGAUGGAAUUCCGCGUGUAGCAGUGAAAUGCGUAGAUAUGCGGAGGAACACCGAUGGCGAAGGCAAUCCCCUGGACCUGUACUGACGCUCAUGCACGAAAGCGUGGGGAGCAACAGG
rnacentral:rRNA from 1 species